UGUAGGUGACUUCAUGGUACAGUCAUAGACAGAUGCAGUUAUAAAUUUGCUGUAUGUGUGAACACAGCUUAAAAAGCUACACUUCUUACCUUUAAGCUGUAUGAGUUAUACUGUAUAUUCAAGUGUUUGUUUUGGAACAAAGUCAUAUUCGUUUGUUAAAUCUAUAACAAUGACUGUAAAAGUCGUUGUUUCUUAGGAGAAAAAUAUACAACACUCAUCUGAGAGCCGGCUACUAACACAAGGCAUGAACAACAUGGCGCUUCAACACACAGAGGUUGAAGAUAAUGUAACUGUGAGCUCUGCCUUCCUGCUUCCGAGAAGCUCCUUUGGCUUUGUGGACUCCAGCCUGCUGUGUCCUAACCAUCAUGGCUGCCAAGAACCCUAAUCUCCACUCUGUCAGUGUCAUUACUGCAGCUCAGCCACUCGGAACAGAAGCAGAAGCAUUGCCUGAGAAAUGCUCCACAUCGUUAUGCGUGUCAUUGCUGUUAUAACUAGGUCCUCAGUUAUUUGGUGUCAGACACAGAUGGCUCACCUCCUUCUCUGGGACUGACAGAGACAGAGAUAUCUCCGUCACUGAGAGAGACAGGCACAGAGGCCACGCCUUCUUCACAAAAUCUAUCUCUAUCAAUCCUAUCAUUCACAUGUGAGUUGUGUGUGAUUGUCAGAAGCCAGAUAAAUAUGUGCUCUGCGUCCUCUGCUCUGUGUGUGUGUGUGUGUGUGUGUGUGUGUCAUCCAAUUUUUUAUAAUAGUUUUAAUAUAAUACAAAUAUUAUUUUGUUUACAUUCUCAUACAACACACUAUUUUUUAUUACUAACUUGUUGAGUUUUAUUUUCUCAUUUGCAAAAUUAUUUCAAAAACAUUUUCAGAGAGCUUCUUAGUUUAUCAGGUGUUAUGUGGGCACCGUUAAUGAUGUGUUAAGCUCCGCCCCUUGUUUGAUUGCCAUGUUUACUUUGUCCCAGACUUAACGGCCACGUGUCAUGUCAGCAUCUGUUUUGACCUUUAAUGUUCUCUUGUGUGCAAAUGUCUCUCCUAUAUUAAUUGAUCCAAUAUUCAUUUCUUUCACAGUGGCAUGACAGUUUAUCUUCCGUCGACAUUUGCAGCAGCAGCAUUGACUAUUUCGUUGCGUUGUCCGAAUUCUCAGAGGACAAAUUAUAGUCCAUAGACAGUCCUAUAUAUCAUUACUCGUAAUGCAUUGUGAAUCCAGCGCCUCUUCACUAAGUACCACAGGCAUAAUGAUUUCUUUAGCUGGAAAUGUACUUAUCAGGGUAAUUACUGAGCAGCCAUCUUCACAUAUAAAUGUGAAUAAAAAUUGUUCUUUAACAACCACUAAAGCCAACAGCUGCUUGGUAUUGUUGUAUUUAAUAUAGUUUUCACAUAUAAUACUCCUAAAUUCAGGUUGCUAGGUAACAUUUAAAUUGUUUAUAUAAUGAUGGUCCACAAUGAUGUUUCCUCACUACUACGUGUUAUCUGCUUAACUGAUGGCCUACACAUUGUGCUAUCUAGAACAUCUAGUAAAUAGUGAGGGAGUGAGCAAGAGCAAAUUUCUGAUAUAGCACAAAUAACUGAAAAUUAAUACUAGGAAAUAAGGGUGCUGGAGCCAUGAACUAGGGGACUAUGAAACAAAGAGUUGCCUCUUUCACUGGUACUGAGAGACCCAGAGGCCACACCUCUUUCACUGGUACUGAGAGACCCAGAGGCCACCCCUCUUUCACUGGUACUGAGAGACCCAGAGGCCACCCCUCUUUCACUGGUACUGAGAGACCCAGAGGCCACCCCUCUUUCACUGGUACUGAGAGACCCAGAGGCCACCCCUCUUUCACUGGUACUGAGAGACCCAGAGGCCACCCCUCUUUCACUGGUACUGAGAGACCCAGAGGCCACGCCUCUUUCACUGGUACUGAGAGACCCAGAGGCCACCCCUCUUUCACUGGUACUGAGAGACCCAGAGGCCACACCUCUUUCACUGGUACUGAGAGACCCAGAGGCCACACCUCUUUCACUAGUACUGACAAAUAGAGGCCACGCCUCUUUCACUGGUACUGACAGACCCUUGUGAUACAUCUGACAGAUAAAGAGGCCAUGCCUGCUUCACGGAGACCAACAGACACAGAGGCCACACCUCCUUCACUGAGACUGACAAACACAGAGGCCACACCUCCUUCACUGAGACAGACAGACACAGAGGCCACACCUCCU